GUUGUCUGUAUUGUUACAGACAUAUUUGCUGACAGUGCAUUGUGAAAUAAAUGACCAAUAGUAAUUGGAACUGCUGUGAUUAUACUGUGUUAUUUUGACAAAUAAAAUGUGCAGAAUUUUUAAUUUU